UACCCUAAGAGGGACCAUAUCGACGGCAAUCCCACAUUGAAGUGGACUGGAGAAUUUCGAUUAGUCCUUUUAUAGCCUAAACCUAAGAUGGGUCGCUUAGCACUUUUGAUGCUCAGCUGUUUGUCAAUCUGUCUGUUAUAUUAUGCUUCGGUAUCAGCAAACCAAAAAAGAGAUUCACGAUUUUGAUUUCGUCCAAGCGGCAAAAAAUGUAUGAAAUAUUCUGAAAGAUGUACUCGCGUUCAGCAGUUCUGUGUCCCCACUUUUCAACAUUACAAGUGCCGUAAAUGGCAGGAUCGUUGCAAUCGUUACAACCAACUUUGCCCUAAACUUGUUUUUCAACAACAAGUCGUACCUCAAGUUGUUCAACAACAAGUAGUACCGGAAGUUGUUCAAUAACAAGUACAAGUCGUACCUCAAGUUGUUCAACAACAAGCAGUACCGGAAGUUGUUACUCAGGUACCUCAAGUUGUUCCACAGCAAGUUGUAACGGGAGCCGUUCCGCAACAAGUCGUAAAUGUUCCUGUUACUCAGGAAGACGAACGUCAAUUUUUUCCACAACAAUACGUAGUUGUUCCUGCCGUACCACAACACAUUUACGUACAGCAGCCCCCCAGAAAAUAUAAGUUCAAAUUGUUCGGUUAGUCUAUGUGAGAGAUAAUCUUCUUCAUCGUUUUCCGAUCAAUCUUUCACGCAACGUGACUAAAUUAAACCCACACUAUCCUGCAGAUUGUAUCUGAAAUACAUUUUAGUCGAGGCUUAAAAAAUUCUUUAUUUCUUGUCAAUAAAACGUUUCGUGAAAAGAUGUCAUUUGAAAAUGAGACAGAGAACCACCUCAUAUUAGACAGCUUACACAAA